rnacentral:lncRNA from 1 species
GAGUUGAGACGCUGAAUUAUGCAUGUUAGAGUGUGUUGGAGAAGUUGUGCAUGAGAGGAAGCAAGGUUCUGCCUUCUGGAGAACCCAGCUUCGGCCGCCGAAGUGAAGAUUCGGCCGCCGAACCUCUUGUGGAGGUAGUUUCGGCUGCCUAAGGUUGCCUCCGAAAGAAUGGACUUUCGGAUCUGUCAUGCACAUUCGGCCGCCGAAGGUGCCGCCGAACAUGCAUGAGUUUCGGCUCUGGAGAGGAC